AUAGAGUAGUCUGCCACUCCAGGUAGGCUAGAGCAAACACUCAUAGCACUUUGAAACCAAUAGAGUAGUCUGCCACUACAGGUAGGCUAGAGCAAACACUCAUAGCACUUUGAAACCAAUAGAGUAGUCUGCCACUCCAGGUAGGCUAGAGCAAACACUCAUAGCACUUUGAAACCAAUAGAGUAGUCUGCCACUACAGGUAGGCUAGAGCAAACACUCAUAGCACUUUGAAACCAAUAGAGUAGUCUGCCACUCCAGGUAGGCUAGAGCAAACACUCAUAGCACUUUGAAACCAAUAGAGUAGUCUGCCACUCCAGGUAGGCUAGAGCAAACACUCAUAGCA